GCGAGGUUGCAAGCUUGGUUGUGUUCCAAGAAGCCGCGCGGUCUCUGAAUCUCUGGGACGCUUCCCUUUCUGCAUUUGUAAAAUGGGGCUAAGGCAAUGUUCCUACCUGGAUGAGGGAUCCCCAAUAUGCAGAUGGAGCAUGCCUGGGAUUCAGGAUGUGUGACUGCAGCUCCGCGCCUUCUGGGCUCGGGGGAGAAGCAGUGGUUCACCCAGGUUCACUGAGUGAGCGCCUGCUAGGAGCUGGGGAAGCAGGGAUUGAGGACCCAGCUGCGGCCCUGGUCUCUCGACAGAGACAAAGAGUGAACACGUAAGCAAGCAAAGACACGAGAGUGCAAAUCUUCAGGUCCUGCCAUGGCCAGAAGCAGGUGCGUGUCCAAGAUGGGAAGAACCAGUUUGGACUUAGCAUUUACUAAGGUCUUCUUGGAAUCUUUUAAAGUGAAAACAGAAGAGAGCUUUCAACUGAACUGAAGUCAGCCAAGGCAAGGGAGCGGAAAGAGCCCUGUAGGCAGCAGCUCCAGCAAAUGCAGAAGGACAGAGUGGGAGACAGAUUGGCGAUUUCCUGUCCUGAGAAAAAACUAGUGGACAAGAGCCUGCUGGGCACGCAGGAGAGCUGUGACCGGUGGAGGCAGCAGGCCACAUUCACCCUGCCUCCUGCCCGGACCACACUCACACAGAGCUCCGAGAUGGAGGAGGCUGCCUCAUCCUGAUCAACAGCAGCCCCUCCUGAGCAGCCUGGGAACUGACAGAGCACAGAGCCCUCUGGAAAUCUCCCCUGCUCCUCAGAGAUGUGGGUAUUAGUUCUCCAGCGCUGUGUAAUAAAGCUCCAAGCCUGGGGUUUUGUAACAACGGCUUGUAUCAGUUCACAGUUCUGUUGGUCCAAAGCCGGAAUCCUGACUGGAGUCUGAAUUCACCGGCUGAAUCCAGGAGUGGAUGUUGGAGUCAAGGCCUGGACCUCCUCCUCUGACAAAAAUGAGUAUUUCUCUUUUUGAAUGUGCACGAUGGAAACACCCGCCUUUGAAAUAACUUCGUUGGCAAAUUCAUCUUUACAAGCAAACAAAGAAAGGAAAUAUACAGGAGUGGAAAUCCCUGAAGCCACGACAAGAUAGAAUUUCAGAAGAAAUUUACUCCCACUAUUCUUUAAAAACAAACAAUUACUGUGCAUAUCUUGUACUUGGGAGGUAAAUUAAUUAUAUGGAGCAAUAAAUAAUCCAGCAAGAAGGCAACAUGUGUUGAGGAUUUAGGUGUCCCAGAGGCUGUGCUUAAAUAGAUAAAUAAAUAAAUAAACAAAUAAUUUUUUUCAACUGAUCCAAAGAACAGUCCAACGACAAAGGUACCCUCUUCUGCACUUGAGGUGCGCUGGCUUUCCUCUGUGUGCCUGUCAAUA